GUGGGAGGGGGCUUGCUCCCGAUGGCAGUGUGUCAGUCAGUACAGCGGUUACUGAUACACCGCUAUCGGGGGCAAGCCCCCUCCCAC
rnacentral:misc_RNA from 1 species